rnacentral:rRNA from 1 species
ACGAACGCUGGCGGCGUGCUUAACACCUGCAAGUCGAACGGAAAGGCCCUGCUUUUGUGGGGUGCUCGAGUGGCGAACGGGUGAGUAACACGUGAGUAACCUGCCCUUGACUUUGGGAUAACUUCAGGAAACUGGGGCUAAUACCGGAUCGGAGCUCCUGCUGCAUGGUGGGGGUUGGAAAGUUUCGGCGGUUGGGGAUGGACUCGCGGCUUAUCAGCUUGUUGGUGGGGUAGUGGCUUACCAAGGCUUUGACGGGUAGCCGGCCUGAGAGGGUGACCGGCCACAUUGGGACUGAGAUACGGCCCAGACUCCUACGGGAGGCAGCAGUGGGGAAUAUUGCACAAUGGGCGGAAGCCUGAUGCAGCAACGCCGCGUGCGGGAUGACGGCCUUCGGGUUGUAAACCGCUUUCGCCUGUGACGAAGCGUGAGUGACGGUAAUGGGUAAAGAAGCACCGGCUAACUACGUG